CCCAAGAGAUCGGGAUAACACCUGGAAACAGAUGCUAAUACCGGAUAACAACAGAUGAUGCCUAUCAACUGUUUAAAAGAUGGUUCUGCUAUCACUCUUGGAUGGACCUGCGGUGCAUUAGCUAGUUGGUAGGGUAACGGCCUACCAAGGCGAUGAUGCAUAGCCGAGUUGAGAGACUGAUCGGCCACAUUGGGACUGAGACACGGCCCAAACUCCACGGGAGGCAGCAGCC
rnacentral:rRNA from 1 species